AAUCAACGCGGGCGGCGUGCUAACACAUGCAAGUCGAACGAGAAAGUGGAGCAAUCCAUGAGUAAAGUGGCGACCGGGUGAGUAACACGUGACUAACCUACCUCGAGUGGGGGAUAACCUCGGGAAACCGGGGCUAAUACCGCAUAACAUCCUUGAAGUGGAAACUUUGGGGAUCAAAGGAGCAAUUCGCUUGAAGAGGGGGUCGCGGCUGAUUAGCUAGUUGGCGGGGUAAUGGCCCACCAAGGCUUUGAUCGGUAGCCGGCCUGAGAGGGCGCACGGCCACACUGGAACUGAAACACGGUCCAGACUCCUACGGGAGGCAGCAGUGGGGAAUUUUGCGCAAUGGGGGAAACCCUGACGCAGCAACGCCGCGUGGAGGAUGAAGUCCCUUGGGACGUAAACUCCUUUCGACCGGGAAGAUUAUGACGGUACCGGUGGAAGAAGCCCCGGCUAACUUCGUGCCAGCAGCCGCGGUAAUACGAGGGGGGCAAGCGUUGUUCGGAAUUAUUGGGCGUAAAGGGCGCGUAGGCGGUGCGGUAAGUCACCUGUGAAAUCUCCGGGCUUAACUCGGAGUCUGCAGGCGAAACUGCCG
rnacentral:rRNA from 1 species